GCAAACUUGGUCAUUUAGAGGAAGUAAAAGUCGUAACAAGGUCUCCGUUGGUGAACCAUCGGAGGGAUCAUUCAAGUACGCCCGCGCGCCCUAAAAGGGAGCCGCGGUACGUUCAGCCCCUGUGAACCGUCUACCUCAAAAUAAACGUUGCCUCGGCGGGAGGUCCUGGGGCACCCGGACCACCGCCGAAGGCCCCUAAGCAAGCUCUAGCCUCUAUGGCCUAUCUCUGAUUUUGACAUUUACGAAUGCCUAAAACUUUCAACAACGGAUCUCUUGGCUCCAGCAUCGAUGAAGAACGCAGC
rnacentral:misc_RNA from 1 species